rnacentral:rRNA from 1 species
UUAAAAAGCUCGUAGUUGUAAACUGGGACAGAGCCUUCUUAACCCUAUCAAUUUGGGUUAUAAAGGAUGGAACGAGUUCUCUUAAAUGGUUUGAAUUAACGAAUAUCUCUAAUCUCAUUCUUUGGGUAUUAGAAUAUUUGUAUAAAUUGUAUCAUCAUAUUACCUUGAAGAAAUCAAAGCGCCUAAAGCAGGUAUUAGGCUAGAAUGAAUUAGCAUGGGAUAAUGUAAAAAGACUUUGAUCUUGAUUUGUUGGUUUCUACAAGCAAUGUACAUGAUUAAUAGGGAUAGUUGGGGCCACUUGUAUUGAACCGUCAGAGGUGAAAUUCUAGGACCGGUUCAAGACAAACUACUGCGAAAGCAUCUGGCAAGGAUGUUUUCAUUAAUCAAGAACGAAAGUUGCGGGCGCGAAGAUGAUCAGAUACCGUCGUAGUCGCAACUAUAAACUUUGUCGCCCAAGGGGUAGUGGUAGUUACAUGAUGACACCCCUAUAACUUUGUGAGAAAUCACAAGGAUUUGGACUCUGGGGGAAGUAUGGUCGCAAGGCUGAAACUUAAAGGAAUUGACGGAAGGGCACCACCAGGAGUGGAACCUGCGGCUUAAGACUCAACACGGGGAAACUUACCAGGUCCAGACACAAUAAGGAUUGACAGAUUGAUAGCUCUUUCUUGAUUCUGUGGAAAGUGGUGCAUGGCCGUUUUUAGUUGGUGGAUUGAUUUGUCUGGUUAAUUCCGUUAACGAACGAGACCUAAACCUACUAACUAGUUAAUGGUAACUUGGACUCUAAAUAGAGACCUCAUAUUUAUCCAAACUUCUUAGAGGGACUCUUUAUACUUAGUGAAUGGAAGUUUUAGGCAACAACAGGUCUGUGAUGCCCUUAGAUGUUCUGGGCCGCACGCGCGUUACAAUGAAAUGCUCAAUGAGCAAUAUCCCUUGCCCGUCGGGGCUUGGGAACCUGUGUAAAGUUUUUCAAGAUUGGGAUAGGUCAUUGUAAUUAUUGACCUUAAACGAGGAAUUCCUAG